rnacentral:misc_RNA from 1 species
AACGCACAUUGCGCCCCUUGGUAUUCCGAGGGGCAUGCCUGUUCGAGCGUCAUUAUAACCACUCAAGCCUGGCUUGGUAUUGGGGUUUUCGCGUGUUCGCGGCCCUUAAAAUCAGUGGCGGUGCCGUCUGGCUCUAAGCGUAGUAAUUUCUCUCGCUAUAGGGUUCCGGUGGUUACUUGCCAAAACCCCCCAUUUUUUCUAGGUUGACCUCGGAUCAGGUAGGGAUACCCGCUGAACUUAA